UCGCUAGACAGGGUUCCACCUCCGGCUUUUAGCGUAUAUGGACGGAUUCCGUGACGGACAGAUGCCCCUCGGCUGGUCGCCAGUCAAACAUCUGCUACCUGCUAUGUUACUGCGUUAACCCUGGCGCCCCCGCAACAGAGAGGGGUCGAAUUUAUUGUUAUAGCUGCUUAAUUAAACAGCAGAUGAGGAAUAUACAAAGGAUUAGAAGUGAUCGGUCACCACGAUGUAAAUUGGAACCUCGGAGCACUUGCAUAUUAAACGUUGCUGGACAAGAACGAUCAAUAAUGCAGACAGUCCACACCGCUAGCAAACAAGGAGACGCGGUCAGCUGGAAAACACUAUGAUCGUUUUUGAUUUCAAAUAAGAGAUGCAGCUGCAGCAGCAGCAAUCUCCAGACCCUGGUUGAUGUAGUUGGCCUCCUGACUGGCCUCCAGCGCCGGAAGCUCUGACAGAAGACCUUUCAGCGUCUCGCCCACUUCGCUGAAGCUGGGCCUCCUGUUUGGCUCCUGAUCCCAGCAACUGUGCAUGACUCGGUAACUGCAUUUGGAGCCAGGUGGAAGGCAGCUUCCUUCCGAGGUCCAGGCCUCGGCUGAAUACCAAUAACAGGAGACAGAGACGCAGUCAUGUACAAACAAGGAGGCCUUGAUUUCAAGCUCCCCUGUUUCUUCCGCUCAGUGUCGCCCUCCGCUGGACUCACAUGCAGUUGCGUGCAGCCAGGUCCCUGUGCAGAAACCCUUUGGAGCCCAGGUAGUCCAUGCCUGCAGCGAUGUCGAUCAUGAAGCGGAGGAGGCUCUGAUGGGGCACAAACUGGAAGAGACAAGCGUGCCCUAAAGUGCAUGCGAUUUUAAGCCAAAUGUGCCCACGCGGGUGCGCGUCUCACCAUGGGAAUGUCGCCGUAG